GUGUUUUCAGCGUCCAAUAAUUAUUGCAAGUCAAGUGUGUUUUAAGUAGAAAUGGCUGGAUGUACUUCCCCCGCUUGUCUUAGAGAAGCUAGGUAAAGUCUGUUUGAAAUUCACCAAAGAUGGGAUCAGUGCCAGCCAAGUGGUGCAAAAAAUAAAAAUGAAGUGUGUUGAUGCUUGCAUGGUGGCCACAAAGAAUAUGCAUUCCUUAAGCUUCUGCAAGAGUGGAAUAAUAGAACAGUUUGGGCAUUAAAAUAAACAGACACAAAUUAAGUUUUAAUAGUUAUUAACAGUUCAAAGGUGGACUAAAUAAAGCUUGUAGAGUUUUACUUUG